UGCUGUGAAGAGAGUAUCCUACUGAAGCGAUGAUGAAGGGCCAAAGCUCGGAGC
rnacentral:snoRNA from 1 species